GUGCUCACUUCACGUCUAACUCUUCCUUGUCAUAAAGAAGAUUGGAGGUUGAGGGUCACUACUUGACCUCUGAGCUGAGUUUCAGCUCUCCUGCCUCGAAAAAACGGAGCAGUGAUGUCGAGUUGAGGAUCAGAAAAUCAGUCUACCAGGAAAUAUUACGGAAACAAGUCUGUCAAUGUUCAUUCCCCAUCAGUCCAACGGAAGACAGAAGAUGAGUUCAGUACAAGAAGGCGUCUGCAGAUAAGAAACUCUUCUCUGUUGGGCCCGCCUCUGUGCCUUUUGGCUCCACCCCUGUCUCUGUGAGCUUCCCCUUGAGUUACGCUGCUACAAGAUCAGACAUCUGGAGUCAAUGUUUGAAAGGAUUAGGUGUCCUUCCCCUCAAAAUCCCUUUUUCUCAACCUUUUUCAUGAACGUCAUGCUACUAACUUGUGUUUUUUUGUCUAACAUAGAUGUUCUAGUCAUUCUGUGCUUUGUUCUCUCUCUCAAACUCACAUAUGCCAUAACUCUUUCACACAAAGCUGCAUAUGGACCUUCUCCUCGUUAAGUGUGACUCGGACAGAGGGGGCGGGGAAUGGAGCAUCAAAGAGGAUUGGUCGACAGAAGACGGGACCGUCGGCCAUGACGUGGCUUCAGGCGAGGCUGAACACUGAACUGAAGGAUCUUACAUCUGCCACCAUCGCAUGGAGCACUGGAAGAACGCCAUGCUUUAUCUGGGACUACCUGGAAUCCACAUGCAUGGAUGGAUCACAUUUUGGGGUAUAUUAAUUACCACAGUAGUAGUAAGUAUUGGCUCGGGUCUUAAAAGCUUAAAGUAUUCUCAGAGUGCAUGAGCUGUCCUACAAUGUUUUGUUUUGUGUUUUAUGUAGUAUUGUUUCUGUCAUUUCCAGCACAUUGAAGUUUCUCAGGUACCAUUGUUCACAAGUUUGUUUCUUUGUCCAGCAGAUCAUUCGACAACAAUAUGACGGAGUUUUAGGGCCAGCGAAAAAAAAAAAAAAACAGAUUAAAAGUCAUAAAUUAACAACUUCAAAUCCCAUCAAUUUACGGCUUUAAAUUGAAGUGGAGGUGAGCAGACAGAGCAGCAGGUGAACACCGCGCAGCAGCAGAGCAGAGCGACUAAACUUAGUAGAGGAGGAUCUCUGCAGCCGUUGAUGAAGACGUCGGUGUCCCUGC